AUUGAACGCUGGCGGCAUGCUUUACACAUGCAAGUCGAACGGUAACAGGCCGCAAGGUGCUGACGAGUGGCGAACGGGUGAGUAAUGCAUCGGAACGUGCCCAGUCGUGGGGGAUAACUACUCGAAAGAGUAGCUAAUACCGCAUACGAUCUAUGGAUGAAAGCGGGGGACCGUAAGGCCUCGCGCGAUUGGAGCGGCCGAUGUCAGAUUAGGUAGUUGGUGGGGUAAAGGCUCACCAAGCCAACGAUCUGUAGCUGGUCUGAGAGGACAACCAGCCACACGGGGCCGGAGACCCGCCCCAGCCCCCUAGGGGAGGCAGCGGUGGGGAAUUUUGGACAAGGGGCGCAACCCUGACCCAGCAAUGCCGCGGGCAGGAAGAAGGCCUUCGGGUUGUAAACUGCUUUUGUACGGAACGAAACGGCUUUGUUUAAUCCCCGGGGCUAAUGACGGUACCGAAAGAAUAAGCACCGGCUAACUACGG
rnacentral:rRNA from 1 species